rnacentral:rRNA from 1 species
UUGAAGAGAGAGUUCAAGAGGGCGUGAAACCGCUGAGAUUGAAACGGAUAGAGUUGACGGAACUCGGCUGCAUUCAUUCGGUCGGCCUAGCGGCCCGGCGGGACUGGCUUCCUCGAUGAGGGCAGCUCUGUCGGUAGCUGUUGGGUGCUUGAUCGGUGUAUUUGCGGCUGGUAUGCGCUGAGAGCCUUGUGAUCGCAUGUUGACGGGUGCGUAGUGGACCAUUCCUUCCGGGCGUGGAACCCUCCGUGCUUUGAGGCAUGUUGGCCAUGAGGCUUCGAACGUAGCGUCUCCGCUAUGGUGCGUCGGCCCUGUCGAGCUGUUGCUGCUAUGGUAUGGUCGCGUGCGACCUGCUGCAGUUGGCGGUGGCGUGGCGCGGUGCGGACGCGUCGAGACGUCCAUCUCGGUGUGAACGUUGACCACCUAUCCGACCCGUCUUGAAACACGGACCAAGGAGUCCAGCAUAUGCGCGAGUCAUUGGGUGAUAAACCUAAAGGCGUAAUGAAAGUGAAAUUCGUCUCGAACGAACGAUAUGGGAUCCGUGUUGCUCGCGGGCAAUGCGGCGCACCAUAGCCCCGUCCCCGUUGCUUGCAAUAGGGCGGAGGUAGAGCGC